ACGAACCACACGAACGUUAUUCGGAAUUACUGGGCUUAAAGGGUGCGUAGGCUGUGCGGAAAGUUAGGUGUGAAAUCCCCCGGCUCAACCGGGGAAUAGCGCUUAAAACUACCGUGCUGGAGGAAGACAGAGGUGAGCGGAACUUCGGGUGGAGCGGUGAAAUGCGUUGAUAUCCGAAGGAACACCGGUGGCGAAAGCGGCUCACUGGGUCUUUUCUGACGCUGAUGCACGAAAGCUAGGGGAGCAAACGGGA
rnacentral:rRNA from 1 species